GAGUGAACAAAGAGAUCAAGACAACUGUUUAACACUACUCGGUGAUGCAUACAUCUUUGAAACAAGAGUCAGAGGAACCAGGAUAUGAAAAUCUGCAGUUUAUAUUCUAACUAUACCCCCAAAGUUACGGUGACAAAUCCAAAAUUGCUCAGGACAUAGCCAAACAAAAAUGCAUGAUAAUCUACAGAUCUGGAUGAAAAUGGUGCAUACAGUAUAUGUAUACUUCAAUUCGAAUAAAAUAAAGUGUCCUUUCGUCCGUAUUGUUAAUUUGAAGUAUCAUGACGAAAUAAGUAUUGAUUACAUAUAACGAAAUUCGAGAUAACUGGUAAUUGGUGUGACUUGAAUAUCUUUUUUCUCUAAACUUUGAUGAAGACAAGUAUGUUUUGUUGCAGACCUGUCAUCUACUCCGAAUUUGAAAAUUGAAAUUGAACUACUUUCUUAUAUACCACUCUAAUUCAGCAAGGGCUUAAGAUUCCUCGCCCUUUCUUUCAAUCUUCCAACCAAAUUCGAAUUCAAUAAUAUUACAAGGGAUUUAAUGAACCGAAGUAUCGAUAUACAGCACAUAGAUAUUUGUUCUUGACCAAUUUACAUUAAGAUAAUUCAAAAUCUUGAAAAUGAUUAUAUUAAGAAAACAGAUACUAAGAUUAAAUUGGCGCAUUAUUGCAUCAAAUAUCAUUAUUGAUGCGCUCAUACAGAUAAACAACAUUUAGCUGCUUGUGAUAUGCAAACAUAAAGCAGAUUCUACCCUUAACUUGCUCAUGACGUCUGUUUCAUGCAUGCAUGUGGUUGUCAUGACAACAAUGAGAUCAAUUGGAUUUGCUCUAGGUUUAUUAAAGUUCUGGAUAGGUCCAUUAGACCAAUCUUUCUUGUCUGUAGUGAACUAAAAGCAUGAUUCCCUGCACACAUAAUCACAUAAUGUGCACGCCGAGAAACAGAAUACCCUCUUGUACAAAACUCAAUAACUCAUGUGCGACAUAAUGGAAACCUGUCGACCUAUUUCUGACAUAAUGUUUGCAUUCUAUUGUCCCUCCACAAAAUAGAUUGUCAGCUUCUCCAAAACACUUUCCAUUGUAUCCUUUCUCUAGCGUUCUCUAUCUCCUCAAACAAUCGCCAUCUUAGGACCCCCAAGUGGUGAUAUAUUCUUAUGAUUUAAACUCAAAACGAAACGUUA